UUUGUUUUCUGUUUUGGAGACCUCACUCAGAUUGCUUACAAUGAUAUUUUAGGAGCUCUAAAAGAUGAGUGUCUAAAAUUACUGCAAAAUAUUAUCAGGCUCUUUUUAAUAGUAUGGUUCAAAAAUAAAACUCCUUUCAGAUUAGGAUCUUGUGGUCUUUCAUUGAGAUUUUCAUAGCUGACAUGGGGAUUUAGCUACCCAACUCCCAUUAAUUUAAAUGGGGAUUGAGAACUAAAAGUGUGGCAGAUGUCAGGGCUGAUGGUUCUCUUCUCCAGCUAGCUCUUAGGGCAGGUCUAUACUACGGGGUUAAGUCGACCUAAGUUAUGCAACUCCAGUGACAUGAAUAAUGUAGCUGAAGUCGACGUAGCUUCGGUCAACUUACUGCAGUGUCUAUGCUGCGCUGGGUUGACGGGAGAGCGAUCGGCGGUCGAUUUUUAGCAGUUCUUCACUAGACCCACUGAAUUGACCCCCGGUGGAUCGAUCGCCGCAGCGUUGAUUCACGGUAAGUGUAGACAAGCCCUUAGUUUUCUUUCCUCCCAUGCCUUUUCUCACGUGUAUAACUACAAAGAAUCAGGCAACUAUUUUGUGUUACCUCUGCUCUCCUUUUGAGAGCGCAAGUCCAGCCACAGGAAUGUCCUUAAUGGGGGCAGGGUGAUGGCACAAGACAUGGCUCUUGAUGUAACCUAUUGAAGGAAGGUUCCUCAAAGUAUUGGAAUGUAAAGGAUUUCUAAGGUCCCUCUUACUGUGGUGUGUAAGAGCUAAUAAAAUAGAGAGGGGUUGCUGGGAAGACUGGAGAUCAUCCUUAUCUUCACAUAUUAAUCACCUUAAGUAGGCACUUGUCAAGUUUCAUUUUUCUAGCCUUAAAUUCCUCUGUUUGGACUCUUCCCAAAUGCAUACACCUUUAUGUAUUCAAAUGAGCAACUAUCACUGUCAUGCUGUGGAUAUCUAUUUUAGAAUCUUGGAAAAAAUAAGAGGAAAAUUUUAAUUUUUGUAUUUUCCGCUAUUAAUUUUUUUAAAAACUAGCUAUACCAAAUUUAUUCUAAGAGCAGCAUAAUACCUUGGUAUAUUACACCAUUGCCUGAUUGAACAAAUGUGCUUGAAUAAAUUCCUUUAAAAUUUACACAGCUUGUUGCAGGGUUUAGUUCCAAUAUAGUAAAAUGAAGCUGUAUAUGAAAGUGAGUCCUUAUUCUUUAAAAUUUAGUUGAAAUAUGUGUUCUGUACCCAUUACACACACCAUUUUCCACGAACUUCAUGGAGAUACAUAUAUAAUUAAUAUAUAUUAAUAGUCUAAUAAUAAUGUAGAAAUCAUGCUCUGUUAAAUGGCCACGUUGGAAAUAAAACCCACAAGAACUCUGAAGAUGAGGAUGAACACUUGGCUUGUAAGAGUACAAUAUAAACAAAAGUAUUGGAUCACUCUCACCAUAUAUGUAAACAUUCUGAUGUUCAGUUGGUACAGACUGUAAAUGGACAUUCAAACUGAACUUGAAGUAAAUUUUAUGCUUAUUGAAAAAAGCUGAAAAACAUAUUUUCUCCUCUGUUCCUAAGGGUUUUAAACAUUUGGCCAGGAAUGCUUGAUCAGAGCUAAAAUUUAACACGUAAAAUUGUCAAUGAGGCAUUCUCAGACUUUUGCUGUUAGUAUGGCUUCCCUUUUUUUUUGUGGUUUUUUUUUAAACAAAGGGGUUUUUUUAGUGUCGAGGCACAUGUUUUGAACUCAUUACAAAUGGAUAGUUUUAAGUUUUGUAGGAUUAGUCCAUAAUACUGUUUCUAAAAUGUUCAGUUCAUUGUUGAAAAGCUAACUGAGAUGCUAAUUACUUUUGAAAUUUGUAAGUGAGACAGGUAGAUGUAUCUGGUGUAUUUUAAAUACAUACCAUGGAUUAAAUAAGAUUGGUCCCAAGACCAAUCCCUGAGGAACACCACUACUAACCUGCUUCCAGCCUGACAGUUCACCUUUCAGUAUGACCAGUUAUAGUAUAACCAGUUCCUUAUCCACUUUUCAGUUCUCCUAUUAAUCCCCAUCUUAUCCAGUUAAACUAAAAUUUCCCAUGUGGAACUGUAUCAAAUGCCUUACUGAAAUCCAGGUAGAUUAGAUCUACUGCAUUUCCUUUGUCUAAAAAAAAAAAAAAGUUAUCUUCUCAUAGUAGAUCAGGUUGGUCUGGCAUGAUCUAUCUUUUGUAAAACCAUGUUGUACUUUAUUCCAGUUACCAUUCAUUUCUGUGUCCUGUGAUAGGGUCAGGCCAGAUGGCUACAGAAGGCAGAUACAUUAGUCCCAGAUUAAGUAGAUCCCUGUUCCCAGGAUAAGGUAACAGGGGCAGUUCCAGAACAAGGAGGAACUUGCUGGAACCAGUGAAGGCAGGCAGGCUAAUUAGGACAUCUGGAGCCAAUUAAGAAGAAGCUGCUAGAAUUGAUUAGGACAGGCUGGCUAAUCAGGGCACCUGGGUUUAAAAAGGACCUCCCUUCAGUUAGGGAGAGGCGCGUAAGGAGCUGGGAGUCAGAGGAUGUGCUGCUGGAGGGCUGAGGAGUACAAGCGUUAUCAGACACCAGGAGGAAGGUCCUGUGGUGAGGAUAAAAAAGGUGUUGGGAGGAGGAAGGGAAGUAGCUUAGGGAGUUAAAGCUGUUACAUAACUGUUACAAGAGGCACUCUAGACAGCUACAAUCCACAGGGCCCUAGGCUGGAACCGGGAAUACAGGGUGGGCCCGGGUUCCCCCCAAACCUCCCAGACACAAGAGGAGUUGACCUGGACUUUGGGUUCCACCAGAGGGGAAGGUCUCUGGGCUGUUCCCUGACCCACAUGGUGGAUCAGCAGAGACUGUGGGGGUUGUUCGUCUCCUUUUCCCCAUGCUGGCCAGUGAUGAGGUUGUCUGAGCGAACGGCAGAUUUAGCCACAAAAGCAGCCAAACUGAGGGCUGCUGUGAAUCUCUGAGGCGAGCAAAUUCACCAGUAAGCACAGGACCCACCAAGGUAGAGGAGGAACUUUGUCACAAUCCUUAACAACUUUUUCUUUCAAAAUUUGUUCCAAGACUUUGCAUGCAAUUGAGGUCAAACUAACUGCCCUGUAGUUUCCUGGGUCACUUUUUUCCCUUUCUUAAAAAUAGGAACUAUAUUAGCAAUUCUCCAUUCAUAGGGUAUGACCCCCAAGUGUAUAGAUUCAUUAAAAGUCCUUCCUAGGGUUUGCAAUUUCAUGUGCCAGUUCCUUUAAUAUUAUUAAUGGAGAUUAUCCAAGCCCCCUGAGUUAGUCCCAUUAAGAUGUUUGAGCUUGACUUCCACCUCAGAUGUGAUAAUUUCUAUAUCCAUAUCCUCAUUCCCAUUAGCCACUCUGUCACUACCUUCAAGAUCUUAAUUAAUCUUACUGAAAACUGAGGCAAAGUAUUUGUUUACGUGUUAGGCCAUGCCCAGAUUAUCUUUAAUCUCUACCCUGUCUUCAGUGGUUAGCAGUUCCACUUCUUGUUUUCUUUUUAUUUAUAUGCUAUGGAACCUUUUACUAUUGGUUUUAAUUGCCUUUGCAAGGUCCAACUCUGCUUGGCGUUUGAUCAUCAUAAUCUUGCCUUCAUUCUUCCUCUCUAGGAACAGGCAGAAUCCCACUGAAAUCACUUGAGCCUCCAUUUCCUUAAGUGUUUUCCACAGCUUCCCUUGAUAUGUUCCAGAGAGAAUUUAGCUGUAUCAUUUGUUCCCACAAUGAAGGAUAAUCAGUGGAUUCUUUCCUGCUCCCAUUAGGAUCCUCUUCAGCCUCAGGUCCACAUCCUGUAUCUUAGCCCUGGUCUACACUAGGACUUUAGGUCGAAUUUAGCAGCCUUAAAUCGAUGUAAACCUGCACCCGUCCACACAAUGAAGCCCUUUAUUUCGACUUAAAGGGCUCUUAAAAUCGAUUUCCUUACUCCACCCCUGACAAGUGGAUUAGCGCUUAAAUCGACGUUGCCGGCUCGAAUUUGGGGUACUGUGGACACAAUUCGAUGGUAUUGGCCUCCGGGAGCUAUCCCAGAGUGCUCCAUUCUGACCGCUCUGGACAGCAGUCUCAACUCAGAUGCACUGGCCAGGUAGACAGGAAAAGAACCGCGAACUUUUGAAUCUCAUUUCCUGUUUGGCCAGCGUGGCAAGCUGCAGGUGACCAUGCAGAGCUCAUCAGCACAGGUGACCAUGAUGGAGUCCCAGAAUCGCAAAAGAGCUCCAGCAUGGACCGAACGGGAGGUACGGGAUCUGAUCGCUGUUUGGGGAGAGGAAUCCGUGCUAUCAGAACUCCGUUCCAGUUUUCGAAAUGCCAAAACCUUUGUGAAAAUCUCCCAGGGCAUGAAGGACAGAGGCCAUAACAGGGACCCGAAGCAGUGCCGUGUGAAACUGAAGGAGCUGAGGCAAGCCUACCAGAAAACCAGAGAGGCGAACAGCCGCUCUGGGUCAGAGCCCCAAACAUGCCGCUUCUAUGAUGAGCUGCAUGCCAUUUUAGGAGGUUCAGCCACCACUACCCCAGCCAUGUUGUUUGACUCCUUCAAUGGAGAUGGAGGCAAUACGGAAGCAGGUUUUGGGGAUGAAGAAGAUGAUUGAUGAUGAGGAGGUUGUAGAUAGCUCACAGCAAACAAGCGGAGAAACCGGUUUUCCCGACAGCCAGGAACUGUUUCUCACCCUGGACCUGGAGCCAGUACCCCCCGAACCCACCCAAGGCUGCCUCCUGGACCCAGCAGGCGGAGAAGGGACCUCUGCUGCAUGUGUUUCAAUGAUCACAGGAUCUUCUCCUUCCCAGAGGCUAGUGAAGCUUAGAAAGAAAAAAAAACGCACUCGCGAUGAAAUGUUCUCUGAGCUCAUGCUGUCCUCCCACACUGACAGAGCACAGACGAAUGCGUGGAGGCAAAUAAUGUCAGAGUGCAGGAAAGCACAAAAUGACCGGGAGGAGAGGUGGCGGGCUGAAGAGAGUAAGUGGCGGGCUGAAGACAGGGCUGAAGCUCAAAUGUGGCGGCAGCGUGAUGAAAGGAGGCAGGAUUCAAUGCUGAGGCUGCUGCAGGACCAAACCAGUAUGCUCCAGUGUAUGGUUGAGCUGCAGUGAAGGCAGCUGGAGCACAGACUGCCACGGCUGCCCCUGUGUAACCAACCGCCCUCCUCCCCAAGUUCCAUAGCCUCCACACCCAGACGCCCAAGAACGCGGUGGGGGGGCCUCCAGCCAACCAGCCACUCCACCACAGAGGACUGCCCAAAAAAAAGAAGGCUGUCAUUCAAUAAAUUUUAAAGUUGUAAACUUUUAAA